UUUUUUGUUUGUUUUAGCCUCUUUUGGGAGAAAUGGGUGUAAGUGUUGUCUAAACAUUCUUAAUCGAUGUCUAACUCUUAUAAUUAGUCAAAUGCAUUAGAUUGUGACAUAUUUUGACCAUAGAAACACUAACAAAGCUAUUUAGUGUUUCUAAGCAAUGUUUUGUUGGUUUUAACCUCUUUUGGAACAAAUUGGAUAUAAGUGUUGUCUAAACACUCCUAAUUCAUCUCUAACUCUUACAAUUAGUCAAAUGCAUUGGACUGUGACAUAUUUGUACCAUAGAAACACUAACAAAGCUCUUUGCUGCUUCUAAGCAAUUUUUUGUUGGUUUUAUCCUCUUUUGGGACAAAAUGGGUAUAAGUGUUCUCUAAACACUUUUACUCCAUCUCUAACUCUUAUGAUUAGUUUAAUGCAUUGGAUUAUGACAUAUUUUGACCAUAGAAACAGUAACAAAGCUACUGACUGCUUCUAAGAAAUGUUUUGUUAGUUUUAGCCUCUUUUGGGACAAAAUGGGUAUAAGUGUUGAUAAGUGUGUAUUUUGCAUGUUUCGAGCAUCCAUUUGUCAUCACUUUAGCAUCAUAUCAUCACUGUUUUAUACCAUUUCUCAUCAUUUGUCAUCACUUUACAUGUUUAGGAUAGAUUUGCAUGCAUGUUGCAUAUUUGCGUUGAUUUCAGGUGAUUUGGAGUUGUUGACGAGCUAUCUGGAAGAAGCGGACUUGAUCAUGUCAAACCACUUGACCCCGAGGUCGAGUAGGAGUUUCAAGAUCUCAACAGAUCACUCUGAUAAUAGGUUUUUAUUCAAUUAUCCUAAAACACCAAUCAUGUCAUUGUAGUAUUUUAGGUGUCAAUCCAAAUGAGUGUGAUGCAAACAGAUGAGAUGUGAUCAGAAGUCACUAAGUCAAGCCAAGAAAUAAGAGUUUUGGGGUUUCUAACAGUCCUAAGUGAACAUGCAGAAAACAGAAACAAUAACACUAAAAUCACUCGACCACAACAGGCUGAUGCCAGAAGUAGGAUGCGGUCGAGUAACAGGCAGGAUAUGAAACAGAUAUACUCGAUUGCACAGUCUGUUGCCAGACACUGCUGUGAUCGAGUAUACUGGUCGAGUAACAGACAGGAAAUGAGACAACUGUACUCGACUGCACAGUCUGUUGCCAGACACUGGGUGUGGUCGAGUAAGUUGGUCGAGUAAUUGUAAAAACUAAGAAACAGGCAAUGAGAACGAUUAAGCGAUAACGAUAAAAGAGAGAAAUAAUAUAGACGAGAAAUUCCUAAGGAUGGGGUAAUCGAAUAGAGUGGUAUCCUAGCCUAUCCGAAUGGUUAACAAGCGCAAUCAAGCUAUCCCUAGACAACAGGUUCAACAACAGAUCAAUUCACUCCCGUGAUAGAAAUCCUCAAGCAAAGCUAGCCCAGACUAAUUCCCAUUAACGGAAUUUAACUAUGCAGGCAAUAAGAACAGACUGAUAAAGUCAAUAAACGGUCUAAAUGGCCAAUCCCUUGGGAUAGAGACGAGUAUCUCAGGAACUAGUGGAUCAAGCAUUCCAUCGAACACCUUCUGGGUGCGGGAAUGCUUGGGAUCGAAUUCCAGUUGAUCAGAAAGAAAUAAGCAGUAAACGCAACUAGUCCUGAAGGGAUUCAAUUAAUUCUAAAACUUAACCAUUUUACAGACUACGGAUUCCACAACUACUCUAUCCAAUCCCUAAGAAUUCUAAAUCACUACUCAGACAACAUGCUCAAAGAUAUAAACGCAGAUAAAUGAUAAUAUUGCAUAAGUAAAGAGAUAAAAAGUAGAGAAACAAGAUGACAGAUGAAAUCAAAUGUGGAAUCUGAAUAACUUGGAAAAAUCUCGAAUUACAGGUUGCAGAAGCAAAAGCGGCGCAGCAGAGUAAAACAGAAAAUAAAACUGAAGCAAAAACUCAAUGUCGACUAGAUGUCAGGACAGAAUCCUAAGAAAUCUAUUUAUACAAAACGAAAUAAAAUGAUAGUAGACGGGCCAAUAACCUAAUCGCUCGGCUCAUAGAGUGAUAAUGGGCCGAGAUGGGCUUCGUGAUCCGAUGGAGGUCCAGGCCGCUUCCAAACACUUUGUCUUCUCCUAUUCUCUUUCUUGUGCUCAGCUUGUCUGGUUGAGUGCGGAUUUGAGUAGACUGUGAAGACGUGAUCGAGUGUCCGGUCGAGUGACGGUGAUGGUGGUGAGUGAUGAUACUCGACCAGGGGGUUGAGUAACAUGGUAGAGUAAAUGGCCGAGUGUGGUCAGGUGGUGUGGCGAAGUGAUACUCGACCAGGGGGUCGAGUGGCGUCAUCGAGUGGCCUGAGCUGAGGAUACUCGACCAGGGGGUCGAGUAGAUGGGAAGAAUGGCUCCAAAGUCACUCGACCUGGGGGUCGAGUAUGGUGCUGGAUGCACACGACCAGGUGGUCGAGUAUGUCUUCUGGUUCUGGCUCGUUUCUUCCAAUUUGCUCGCAAACAGCUCCAAAUCACCUGAAAACAACUCAGAAAUGCAAUAUGUAUGCAAAGUUAUCCUAAUCAUGCAAAGUAUGCAACAAUGAUGAGAAAUGAUAUAAAACAGUGAUGAAUGAUACGAAACUGGACUCAAAACGAUGAUGAAUGGACACUGAAAACAUGCAAAUUAUAGACAUAUCAACUCUCCCAAACUUAGUCUUUACUUGCCCUCAAGCAAAUAAGAAGACAUAGUUGAAGGAGAGGUUUGAAGGCGGGGACUCAGAACCAAAGCAUAUGAUAGAGCUAAUAAAAUCAAUGUCCAAGUUGGUAGUUCUAAGAUGUGAUAUGAUUGAAUUUUACUCAAAAACGUUAGCCAUGCCUUGUUAUCAAUCAAUCCGUCUCUUAUACUCGACCUACACAUGCUUUCAAAUCUACCAAUCCCUUUAACAUUCAUCAGUUCUGGAACGUGAAUCAAGCUAUGCAUCAUCAAUAAACUCAUUUGGCUAAGGUGAAGCUCAAGAGACAAAGAUGGUCCCUUACAGAAUAGGCUUAAGUAACAGGGGAUCUCUCAAGAAUGAUUGAGCUUUAGUAGAAUGCUAAAGGUAAGUCCCAAGUUAUGCAUACAGAGAUAAGAUCCCAUCUACCCAGAGUAUAACAAUGAAGGUCUAAUGGUAAUCCCAACUCCAGUCCCAAUACAAGAACUUAACUCUACCCUUUGCACUCAUGAAUCUUUCAAACUCUUUUUCAUAUCAUUCAUUUCUUUUCUCUUAACUCUAGGAGAAGCUUUCUCAACACUCUGAUACACCUAGCGGAUUUGGAUUUCUUUAACAAAUAAGGUUCCUGUUUUUAAUCUUUAAAAC
rnacentral:sRNA from 1 species